rnacentral:rRNA from 1 species
UACGAAGGUCCCGAGCGUUGUUCGGAAUCACUGGGCGUAAAGGGAGCGUAGGCGGCGUGGUAAGUCAGAUGUGAAAUCCCGGGGCUCAACCCCGGAACUGCAUCCGAUACUGCCAUGCUUGAGGAUUGGAGAGGUAGCUGGAAUUCUUGGUGUAGCAGUGAAAUGCGUAGAGAUCAAGAGGAACACUCGUGGCGAAAGCGAGCUACUGGACAAUUCCUGACGCUGAGGCUCGAAGGCUAGGGUAG